UUUAAUUCUAGUGGCGAACGGGUGAGUAACGCGUGAGGAACCUGCCUCAAAGAGGGGGACAACAGUUGGAAACGACUGCUAAUACCGCAUAAGCCCACGGCUCGGCAUCGAGCAGGGGGAAAAGGAGCAAUCCGCUUUGAGAUGGCCUCGCGUCCGAUUAGCUAGUUGGUGAGGUAACGGCCCACCAAGGCGACGAUCGGUAGCCGGACUGAGAGGUUGAACGGCCACAUUGGGACUGAGACACGGCCCAGACUCCUACGGGAGGCAGCAGUGGGGAAUAUUGCACAAUGGGGGAAACCCUGAUGCAGCGACGCCGCGUGGAGGAAGAAGGUCUUCGGAUUGUAAACUCCUGUUGUUGAGGAAGAUAAUGACGGUACUCAACAAGGAAGUGACGGCUAACUACGUGCCAGCAGCCGCGGUAAAACGUAGGUCACAAGCGUUGUCCGGAAUUACUGGGUGUAAAGGGAGCGCAGGCGGGAGAACAAGUUGGAAGUGAAAUCCAUGGGCUCAACCCAUGAACUGCUUUCAAAACUGUUUUUCUUGAGUAGUGCAGAGGUAGGCGGAAUUCCCGGUGUAGCGGUGGAAUGCGUAGAUAUCGGGAGGAACACCAGUGGCGAAGGCGGCCUACU
rnacentral:rRNA from 1 species